AAAGACCUUAUGCUUUUGGAGCGGCCGAUGUCUGAUUAGCUAGUUGGUAAGGUAAAGGCUUACCAAGGCGACGAUCAGUAGUUGGUCUGAGAGGACGACCAGCCACACUGGGACUGAGACACGGCCCAGACUCCUACGGGAGGCAGCAGUGGGGAAUUUUGGACAAUGGGCGCAAGCCUGAUCCAGCAAUGCCGCGUGAGUGAAGAAGGCCUUCGGGUUGUAAAGCUCUUUCAGUCGAGAAGAAAAAACUAUGACUAAUAAUUAUAGUUCAUGACGGUAUCGACAGAAGAAG
rnacentral:rRNA from 1 species